GGCGGAGUCUAGUGAUGGCCACGCCUCUCUUCAAAAACACAGCUACACUUCACUUAAAGCUCUCUGCCUUCACUGUGCUGUUCACUUCAUGGAUUACAAGAUGGAUUUCUUGACUUGUGGAGAGAAGGAGCCGCUGUAUGCCAAAUACAGCACUUUUCCCGGAUGGCAUUCUUCACACACAUAUCAGCACAAACCUUCUACAACCACUUGCCUGCAACACCUGUCAGAGUACAUCGACUCAGCUGGUGAGCCAAAAACUUGGGUGGCAUCAGGUACCAGAACUACCAGGGAUAUUUAUGACCUUAACAAGCAGACUGAAAUAGCAUCAACUGCAAAUUUUCAUUUACACACCAAGUUAUCUCACAGAGAAUUAAAGGACUACAUUGGUGAAGUGAGAAAUCCUGUAACAAUAGAAAAACAGAGAUCAGAUAAGGGAAGGUAUGCAGAAAGAGACUCACAUGCACAGCACAAAGGGUGGGAAAACACAUGGCCAUUAAACUACAGAGGAAUAAGAGAAAACUUUGGAACAAACAGUCAUAAUGAGAUGCAAGUCUAUGCCGAUUGC